rfam:Merops nubicus contig53216, whole genome shotgun sequence.
CCACAGGUUUUAUCCAAAACCACUGACAUCCACAAAAAAAAAAAA